CCUUUGUAGCCAUUGUUCUCCUCACCUGGCCCUCCGGAGGUCCUUCCAUCUGUCUCCCUCUCUACAGCCUUGCUGUGCCUGCAAUAAAGCACACCAAGGACCAGAGCCAGAGCUAAGGAGCUGACCUUGGACUCUGAGGCAAAGCUUCACCGUUUCUUGUAAGGCACUGAAAUGUGCACAUUGCAGUGUCACUCGUGUGGAGACAGAAUGUCCUUCUGUGAUUGGAGGUCUUUGUUCUGAAGAUUUCCAGCCGCUCCAUGAAGCGAAUGCCAUGGUGAUCUAUAGAAGACGU